GAUGAACGCUGGCGGCGUGCCUAAUACAUGCAAGUCGAGCGAACGGACGAGAAGCUUGCUUCUCUGAUGUUAGCGGCGGACGGGUGAGUAACACGUGGAUAACCUACCUAUAAGACUGGGAUAACUUCGGGAAACCGGAGCUAAUACCGGAUGAUAUUUUGAACCGCAUGGUUCAAAAGUGAAAGACGGUCUUGCUGUCACUUAUAGAUGGAUCCGCGCUGGAUUAGCUAGUUGGUAAGGUAACGGCUUACCAAGGCAACGAUGCAUAGCCGACCUGAGAGGGUGGUCAGCCACACUGGAACUGGGACACGGUCCAGACUCCUACGGGAGGCAGCAGUGGGGAAUAUUGGCCAAUGGGGGCAAGCCUGAUCGAGCCAUCCCGCGUGGGUGAAGAAGGCCUUCGGGUUGUAAAACCCUUUUUUUGGGGAAAAAAAAAAGGUGGAUAAAACCCCGCUCUUCUGACGGUACCCAAAGAAAAAGCCCCGGCUAACUUCGUG
rnacentral:rRNA from 1 species